UGCCAGCCGCCGCGGUAAUACGGAGGGUGCAAGCGUUAAUCGGAAUUACUGGGCGUAAAGCGCGCGUAGGCGGCUUUGUAAGUCGGAUGUGAAAGCCCUGGGCUUAACCUGGGAAUGGCAUUCGAUACUGCAGAGCUAGAGUAUGGUAGAGGGAAGUGGAAUUUCCGGUGUAGCGGUGAAAUGCGUAGAUAUCGGAAGGAACACCGGUGGCGAAGGCGACUUCCUGGGCCAAUACUGACGCUGAGGCGCGAAAGCUAGGGUAGCAAACGGGAUUAGAUA
rnacentral:rRNA from 1 species